rnacentral:rRNA from 1 species
UCUUUUCCUUUUGUGCCCGCCGCCGCGGUAAUACGUAGGCGGCAAGCGUUGUCCGGAAUUAUUGGGCGUAAAGGGAGCGCAGGCGGGAAACUAAGCGGAUCUUAAAAGUGCGGGGCUCAACCCCGUGAUGGGGUCCGAACUGGUUUUCUUGAGUGCAGGAGAGGAAAGCGGAAUUCCCAGUGUAGCGGUGAAAUGCGUAGAUAUUGGGAAGAACACCAGUGGCGAAGGCGGCUUUCUGGACUGUAACUGACGCUGAGGCUCGAAAGCUAGGGUAGCGAACGGG